rnacentral:rRNA from 1 species
GUGGGGAAUAUUGGGCAAUGGGGGAAACCCUGACCCAGCAACGCCGCGUGAAGGAAGAAGGUUUUCGGAUCGUAAACUUCUAUCCUUGGUGAAGAUAAUGACGGUAGCCAAGAAGGAAGCCCCGGCUAACUACGUGCCAGCAGCCGCGGUAAUACGUAGGGGGCAAGCGUUGUCCGGAAUGAUUGGACGUAAAGGGCGCGUAGGCGGCCUGGUAAGUCUGGAGUGAAAGUCCUGCUUUUAAGGUGGGAAUUGCUUUGGAUACUGUCGGGCUUGAGUGCAGGAGAGGUAAGCGGAAUUCCCGGUGUAGCGGUGAAAUGCGUAGAGAUCGGGAGGAACACCAGUGGCGAAGGCGGCUUUCUGGACUGUAACUGACGCUGAGGCGCGAAAGUGUGGGGAGCAAACAGGAUUAGAUACCCCAGUAGUCC